rnacentral:rRNA from 1 species
CCCCUUCGUCGUGACUGCGUACCUUUUGUAUAAUGGGUCAGCGACUUAUAUUCUGUAGCAAGGUUAACCGUAUAGGGGAGCCGGAGGGAAACCGAGUCUUAACCGGGCGUUAAGUUGCAGGGUAUAGACCCGAAACCCGGUGAUCUAGCCAUGGGCAGGUUGAAGGUUGGGUAACACUAACUGGAGGACCGAACCGACUAAUGUUGAAAAA